GAAUGACAUCACGUUAUAUAUACAGUAGCUUUGAUUGGACUGAUCAUGUCAACAUCAUACUUUCAAAAUUUUAGCUAGCAGACGUCACCAUGAAUUAAGUCGACACUCAAAUCCUUUUCAAUCAUAUGUCAUAUGAAGAGAUAAAACAUCUCGGUGCUCAUCGACCAUUGAACAUAAACAUUACACAACAAGUUGAAAAUCGCAAAUUCAACUAUGAGUGAUUUGGGAAGGAAUCAGUGGCUAUCUAAUCCGCCGCGCCACUUUCCUCUUCAAGCACAUCACAACCACGAGUGCAGGGUAACAUGUUGGUUGUCCAAUACCAAAAAUGCAAGAAGUUCAUGAAGUUGCAGCCUGUGUUCUCUUAUGGAGAUGUCAUCAAUCAAGGUGAAUAUAUGAACUCUCUGAUGUAUUUUCUUAAUUGUACCCUUGUGCUUGAUUUGGGUCAGACCUAUUCUGUUGCCACCUUGGUGAUGUAUCUCUCUGUAUUCUGUUUAGUCUCUCUUUUUGAAGUCCAAAAUAGAUUUGGACUGCCCUCUGCAGCACAAAUGCACAUUUUUGAUGAUUCCCAAACUGAGGUUGAGGAGGAUGUCCUGCUGGACCUGAUUGAGGCCAUUCCAGACCUCACAAUCAAAGAUCUUGAUGAAGCGGAAUGUUGUCAAGGGGUUCCGCCUGCGCUAGAAAGGUUAACACCGUGCCUACUACAAUUGAGGACAGUGUGACCUCUGGUGGACAACCAGAGACUUACACAACCAGAGACAUUCUGUCGAACUAUUCGUCACAGACGGAUCGAGUGGUUUCAACAGAGAGAUGACAGACAAAGACAUCUUAGUAUAAAUAUAUGUUGCAUUUCUAAAUCUGAAUGAGCGGUUGUUAGGGUGCUAAAUAUCCAUAUUUAUGGUGAGAGUCUUAUUCAACUUUAUGUAUGAUAGUUGAAUUCCUUUGUCUCUCCUCCUUCUGCUCUUUAUUUCCAUACCCCUUUCAUUGUGUAACAAGCCGUCAUAUCGGGUUAGUCCACUAGGGACUUUCCAUUGCAUUAUGUUAGUAAUCAAUUCAACCUAUAUUGUGUCUGUUUAUGUAUUUCUGUAUGAUUAUUGAGCUAGUUAGUAAAUAAAUA
ensembl:lncRNA